UACGUAGGGGGCGAGCGUUGUCCGGAAUCAUUGGGCGUAAAGCGCACGUAGGCGGUCCGUUAAGUCGGAUGUGAAAGCCCCCGGCUCAACCGGGGAAGUGCAUCCGAAACUGGCGGGCUAGAGUACGAAAGAGGGUCGCGGAAUUCCCGGUGUAGAGGUGAAAUUCGUAGAUAUCGGGAGGAACACCGGUGGCGAAGGCGGCGACCUGGGUCGAUACUGACGCUGAGGUGCGAAAGCGUGGGGAGCAAACAGG
rnacentral:rRNA from 1 species